rnacentral:misc_RNA from 1 species
GUCUAUACAAAAAUUUGUUUCGCCCACUACAUAUUACAUUGCAGUGGUUGUAUAAGGGGUUCAGUAUUAUCGAUAAUAAUCGUUGUGGAUAAAAAAGAACACGGACAAACUCUCGAGAUGGCUUUGUUUCAAGCAAUGAGGGUUUAUUGUAUGCCCGUUCCAAUUUCAACCAUCAUAGCGCACCGCGGUGCACUUCCUUUCGUUAGAGCCGAUUCCGCUUUAUAAAGCCGACAUCGUCAGCCUUCGAUGUGCACCGCGCGUUUCUCCUCGCUAAAAUAUAAACUGCACAAUGCAACCUAUUCUCUAGGCUGAUUCGAUUAAAUCAAUUUCUUUCUAAUAAACUAAUAAUAUUGAGGUUAGGUUUUCACUAAUCAUUUCUGUUGGUCUAUUCAUCAG